rnacentral:rRNA from 1 species
AUACGUAGGGUGCGAGCGUUGUCCGGAAUUACUGGGCGUAAAGAGCUCGUAGGUGGUUUGUCGCGUCGUCUGUGAAAUUCCGGGGCUUAACUCCGGGCGUGCAGGCGAUACGGGCAUAACUUGAGUACUGUAGGGGAGACGGGAAUUCCUGGUGUAGCGGUGAAAUGCGCAGAUAUCAGGAGGAACACCGGUGGCGAAGGCGGGUCUCUGGGCAGUAACUGACGCUGAGGAGCGAAAGCAUGGGUAGCGAACAGGAUUAGAUCCCCUGGUAGUCCAUGCCGUAAACGGUGGGCGCUAGGUGUAGGGGUCUUCCACGACUUCUGUGCCGUAGCUAACGCAUUAAGCGCCCCGCCUGGGGAGUACGGCCGCAAGGCUAAAACUCAAAUGAAUUGACGGGG